rnacentral:rRNA from 1 species
UACGAAGGGGGCUAGCGUUGCUCGGAAUCACUGGGCGUAAAGGGUGCGUAGGCGGGUUUUUAAGUCAGAGGUGAAAUCCUGGAGCUCAACUCCAGAACUGCCUUUGAUACUGAGGAUCUUGAGUUCGGGAGAGGUGAGUGGAAUUCCGAGUGUAGAGGUGAAAUUCGUAGAUAUUCGGAAGAACACCAGUGGCGAAGGCGGCUCACUGGACUGGUAUUGACGCUGAGGUGCGAAAAGCGUGGGGGAGCAAACAGG